GAUGAACGCUGGCGGCGUGCUUAACACAUGCAAGUCGAACGGAAAGGCUCCUGCUUGCAGGGGUACUCGAGUGGCGAACGGGUGAGUAACACGUGGGUGAUCUGCCCUGCACUUCGGGAUAAGCCUGGGAAACUGGGUCUAAUACCGGAUAGGACGAUGGUUUGGAUGCCAUUGUGGAAAGUUUUUUCGGUGUGGGAUGAGCUCGCGGCCUAUCAGCUUGUUGGUGGGGUAAUGGCCUACCAAGGCGUCGACGGGUAGCCGGCCCGAGAGGGUGUACGGCCACAUUGGGACUGAGAUACGGCCCAGACUCCUACGGGAGGCAGCAGUGGGGAAUAUUGCACAAUGGGCGCAAGCCUGAUGCAGCGACGCCGCGUGGGGGAUGACGGCCUUCGGGUUGUAAACUCCUUUCGCUAGGGACGAAGCGCAAGUGACGGUACCUGGAGAAGAAGCACCGGCUAACUACGUG
rnacentral:rRNA from 1 species